AUCACUUCUGCUACAUUCUGCUGGUCACACGGACCGACCCUGGUACAAGGCCCAACGGGUCCACCGGGCUGUGAGUGCCAGGGAUUUAACCGAGGAUGGCAUCCUCCGCCCGGUCCUCUGGCGCCAUCUAGUGGCCACACCCGAAAUGGCUGCCCCAGCCAACGCUUCUCAAUUUUGGGGUCCAAGGAUUUACCUGCCUUCAGGAAUGUGACUUUGAGAGGAUGUGACGCGUAGAGCCUGGGAUCUCAUGAUUUUCCUCAGGAGUCCCAGAGACGCUGCACGCCCAGCUCCAGAAGGGAGCUGUGAAACCCCGGAAGGGAUGGAUGAGCCGUCAGAACAUUUGAGACCAGCGACUAAACCUGCCGCCUCCUUCUGCUCACCCCAGAUGUAACUAGCCCUCCACCCUGGCAGGUGCACGGACACUCAGCCAGGAGCACGAAGGUGCUCCCUUGUUCCCCCCAGCUUUACUGCUCAGAACCUAACGUCCAAU